rnacentral:tRNA from 1 species
GAGGGUAUAGCUCAGCGGUACAGCACGUGCUUAGCAUGCAUGAGGUCCUGGGUUUAAUCCCUAAUACUUCUA